GUGCUCACUUCGGCAGCACAUAUAUUAAAAUUGGAACGAUACAGAGAAGAUUAGCAUUUGCACAUAGUGGAUACUGACCUGACUACAAGGUGCUAACAUGUUG